GAAAGAGCCUCUGCAGUCAACAGCCAUCUGUGCAGACAACUGAACUUGCACUGAGUGCUGUGGAGGACAGAGGAGGAGAGCUGAUCACAGAAGCAUCUGGCCUGGUGAAAACCACAGUCCCUAGGGAGAGCUAUGAAGACAUUGCCUGGACCUUUUGUCCUGUGCUUGUGGCUGCAGCUGAACUGUGUGAGCAGAGGAGAGCAGCUGGAGCAGCAGCCUUCUCUCCUGAGUGUCCAGGAGGGAGACAGCGCCGUUAUCAACUGCACCUACACAGACACUAAUUAUUACUUCUACUGGUACAAGCAGGAGCCUGGGGCAGGUCUCCAGCUCCUUAUAAAUGUUCCUUCAAGUGUGGACAGAAAAGAAGAACAAGGACUCAUUGUCCUACUGAAGAAAAAGGACAAACAACUCUCCCUGAACUUCACCGCUGCCCAUCCUGAGGACUCAGCCACGUACUUCUGUGCAGCAAGUGCACAGUGCUCCCCAGGCAUCCACUGCCUGUGCAUAAAACUGAGACCAGGACUGGAGAAAGACAUAUUUCCCAUUAUUGAGAUGAGGAAUUCUCUGUAUUUUAUCUGUUUCUGGACAUACAACAAGUGCUAGAGCAUCUUGAAGGACCUCUUAAUAAGAAUAACUGAUUAUUUAUCAACAUGUAGACUUGACUGUCGGGUGCCAACUAGAUUGCCCCACUCCAAAUAUAUCUCUGUGUCACUUGUAGAGAAUAUUCAUCAUGAUGGAAAGGCUCUUAUCUUUUAAUAAAGGUACUUAAUGCAUCUAUUAGAAGAUUAUGAGUACACAGUGUAGGACAACCAUUAAAAUGUAAAGCAAAAUUUCCCAUAAAGUUUCACUACAAUUAGCACCAUACAGAGCAGUUUUGACUUCCACGUGUACCCUGGCAUGACUAUUUCCCAAUGCCAACCAUAAGCCUAUUUUUUAUGUUGUUAUGAUGUAUUUUACACAGCAUUC